rnacentral:rRNA from 1 species
ACACGACUACAUUAGAUACCCCGGUAGUCCCAGCCCUAAACGAUGCGCGUUAGGUGUAUCGGUGACCACGAGUCACCGAGGUGCCGAAGGGAAACCGUGAAACGUGCCGCCUGGGAAGUACGGUCGCAAGGCUGAAACUUAAAGGAAUUGGCGGGGGAGCACAACAACGGGUGGAGCUUGCGGUUUAAUUGGAUUCAACGCCGGAAAUCUUACCGGGACCGACAGCAACAUGAAGGCCAAGCUGAAGACUUUGCCGGAUUAGCUG